UUCGCGCGGGCGUCGAGCGCGCGGUUGUAGUUGUUCCGCGGCGGGAGAAGUGUUCACGCCGAGAGACUUGUGUCUGCGCUCGGAUGGUCAUGGAGGUGCUGCCGCUGCUGCCAGCCGCGAUGACUCCAGUCCCCGGCUGGAGCCGAAGGCUGCUGCUGCUGCCGCUGCUACUGUUCCUGUUGCGGGCCGGGACCCUGCGGGGCUUGGAGGCAGAGGAGAGGCCCCGAACCCGUGAAGAGGAGUGCCACUUCUACGCAGGGGGACAAGUAUACCCGGGAGAGUCGUCCCGAGUUUCGGUAGCCGACCACUCCCUGCACCUCAGCAAAGCCAAGAUUUCCAAGCCAGCUCCUUAUUGGGAAGGAACAGCUGUGAUAAAUGGAGAAUUUAAGGAGCUCAAGUUAACUGAUUAUCGUGGAAAAUACCUGGUUUUUUUCUUCUACCCACUUGAUUUCACUUUUGUGUGUCCAACUGAAAUUAUCGCCUUUGGUGAUAGAAUUGAAGAAUUCAGAUCUAUAAACACUGAAGUGGUAGCAUGCUCUGUCGAUUCACAGUUUACUCAUUUGGCCUGGAUUAAUACCCCUCGAAGACAAGGAGGACUUGGGUCAAUAAGGAUUCCACUUCUCUCAGAUUUGACCCAUCAGAUCUCAAAGGACUAUGGUGUAUAUCUAGAGGACUCAGGCCACACUCUUAGAGGUCUCUUCAUUAUCGAUGACAAAGGAAUCCUGAGACAAAUUACUCUGAAUGACCUUCCUGUGGGUAGAUCAGUGGAUGAGACACUUCGUUUGGUUCAAGCAUUCCAGUACACUGACAAACAUGGAGAAGUCUGCCCUGCUGGCUGGAAACCUGGUAGUGAAACAUUUGAAAGUAAAGUUUGCAUUCUGGACCUCCAAAAAAUCCAUUUGAACACACUGCCCCCUUUUCAAGUUGUUAUGACAUACCAACAUUUCAGCAGAUGAUUUAGAAAUACAUUAACAUCUGUAGCCAUGCUCUCUUAAUGUUUGGUUUAAUUAGAUCAAACCUGAAGAUGCCAUGAAAGCCUGGUGGCCAAGAGAAGAGCUAUAAUCCCAGAUCCAGCUGGAAAACUGAAGUAUUUCGAUAAACUGAACUGAAAAAUACUUCACGUUAUGAUGCUCGAAUGUUCCCAAUAAAGUUCACCGUUUUACCACAUUGUGUUGCAGUAGUAAUUUCUUGGUGAAUAUAAGAAUCCAUUUUAGGGUCCAAAGAUAUUUAGUGUUCAAAUUAGACACGAAUGCCAAAAGAUAGGCAAGUUAUUCUCUUUCCAAAAUAAGAAAUGUCAGGUUGACUCAAACUAGUAAUAACAGUAACAACUAACAUUUGCAUAGUAUGUGCCAUGUGCCAGGUGUUAUACCAGGCAGGUUAGGGCCAUUAUUUAAUCCUCACAGCAACUGUGAGUUCUUUAUUUUACAGACAAGGAAACUGAAGCCCAGAUAAGCUACUCACCUAGAGUCACAGCUAGCUCACAAAGGUAAAAUCAGACUUUGAACCUAAACAGGCUCAUUCUAGUUUCUGAGCUCUUAACAACACUCCACUGUGGCUACCCUUCUGCACCUUUGAGGGUGGCAGGAAAGGACAGGUUGUGAGCAGUCUCCUUCCACAGUAUCUGGUAGGGACAGCUGACUCCAGAGUCCACUGCUCUGUACAACAUAAAGUCCUCUGGACACACACACACCCCUUCUCUAAAUUCAUGUUUUCCACUUGUACCAAAUUUACAAGUAACAACUUACAUGUUUAUAUUUAGUUUAACAAGUAAAAGUUGAAUCCCUGAAUAUAUGUCGCUAGUUCUUAACAAAUGACCAUAUAUAAAGCUGAACUCCAGGGCUACCUCAUGACCUCAUUUGCCACCCCAAUAUGGCAAGGACUGUCAUAAUCAUCUACAGAUGUGCCAUGUAGUUAAGUGACCCCAUUCCCAAGAGAAUUUGCCUCAUCCUGUCUUCUGUGUUAAUCCCUCUCAUCACUCCUGGGGAAGCCAUCACUAGAACUAGGGGUAUUACAAGCCUGGCUGAAACUCUGUCAUAAAUGGCAGAUGGUUAGUGAUAGGCAUUUGGAUCUGGACAGAGGAAUCCAACUGCCAUUUAUAACCCUUUGCUAUAACAAAGUACGUUCUAAAUGCUAGCUUACAGUCGAAAUUCUAAAAGCCAAGCUAUUAGUACAGUUGAAGACUGCUAGUACUUUGGUGCUGAAACAGGUCUGUGACCAUCUUGUCACUACUUCCAAUACAACUAGAAUCCUGUUCUCAGAUUUCCUCUUUCCAGUCUGAAAAGUACAAACUUUUUACUUAUGGAACAAGCCUGUAUCUUCUUGAUUAAUAGUUUACAUUCUAUGGAGCUUUUUUCUAACCUCGUGUUCAUUUUAGGUAAGUUUACAAGGAAAAAAGGUAUUUUUAGAUGCAUUCAAAAAAGCCAGUCAUUAAUAUUUCAUUCAACAUUCAGCAACCAUUGAUCACUUAAACACUUGGCAUGUAUCAGUGACAAAAGAUUUUUCUGCCCUCAAGGAACUUAGUAUUUAAUUACUAAAGCAGGUGUUGAUAGUGUAGUAGUUUCUGAGGGUCUACAAAAAAGUGGAAAUAAAUCUGGACUUACCACUUUCCUAUUAAUUGGGUAAUGUAAAUACCUAUAAAUAAAAGAGCAUCAAAUGUACUCCUUAGAGCCUUUUGUAAACUAGUCCUUCAAAGAGCUGACUUCUGAAAGCCUACAGGUCCAAAAUUAUAUUCUAAAGAUGAUCUCAUGUGGCCAUUUACAGAAGACUGGAUGAAGAGUAUCCAGGAAGGAUCGUCUCCUGCCCUAAUGGAAAAGAUGGGCCCUGGGCCUGACCAGGUCGCACCCACAGAAGAACUAUUCCUUGAACAUACUGGCCUACCAUAAUCUAGAGCAGUGCUUCCCACCCAGGGACAGUUUGCCUCCAGGGGACAUGGUAUUGUCUGGAGAUGUUUUUGGCUCUCACACCUGCGGGAGUGCUAUUGGCAUUUAGUGGAUAGAGGCCAAGGGGGCUGUGACUCAUCCUCCAAUGGACAAGACAGCCCCACAACAAAGACUUAACUGGCCCAAGAUGUCAAUAGUGAGUGGUAAGGCUGAGAAACCCCUCUCUAUAGACAGCUGCCCACAGACAGAGGUGGAGACUGGUUUAGUUAGUAGCUGCCUCUACAGGAGGACAGACUACACCAUGACACUAGGCAGUUAUCCAAAGUAGGUCAAGAGGUGACUUGAAGUUUCUAUGAAACACAGGCAAUCUUUUCAGUGUGUGUACAACAUCUGUAAUUCCAUGCUUCUCCCUCCAAUUUCUGAUCUGUUGACUCCCAGUUAAGUCUUGCCAGUACCUUGAGCUUUCCAGUGAUUGCAAUGGACUAUUUUUCCAGAGAUUUCUUAGUCCCCACACUCUCAUGCAAGGGUCCAGUCCUCACUCCUAUCAUUUCUUUUCUGUCCAAGGGCACAUCUAAUCUUACAUCCUAAAUUUUCCAUCUGUCGGGAGACUUCCAGGUUGUUAUGUUUUAUUCUCAAAUACAUUAACGCUACUUGACUAUUUAAUGAUAUUUUUGUACCUUAAGCCCCCACAUCUGAUAUCAUGGAAUGCAUCCUUAUAUUUCAUUACCCUUGAACUUUCUGACAAUGCUGUCACUGAAAUAUCUUUGAAUAGUUACUAGUAUAUGAAUGUGAUAAAAUGUAUUUCAGAUAAAUAGCUCAGAAAGGUCUCCAUGUCAGCAGAAAGAUAUUUUUGUGUGUGUACACAUACAUAUACAUAACACAUAUACACACUUCUAUAAACUCAUUAAAAUUUUUACCCAGCUUUUCAAAGGAAAGAAAAAUGUUUAGCAUAGUUAUGAUAUAGUUAGUCUUAGCAAAGCAACUUUUAUCAAGUCCAUUAUUAACAUAAUAACACAACUUUGGCAUAAUGCUGUACACUUAUGUAAAAACCUAAAAAUAGUUUUAAAGAUCCACCUUCCUGAGACUUAACCUUUUAAAUGAACAAAUUCAAAAGCCAAGUCAAACACUCAAAGUCACCUAAAUCACAUAUUUGUUCAUACAGAAAUAUUACCUACACCGUGUACAAGGUAGUUUGCAAGACAAUGCAGAUAAAAAGAUAUGACACAAUCAUUCCCUCAAGAAGCCCAGUCUCCCAAUGAAAGCAGCAAUAUGAUGUAAUAAAUGCUAAAAACACUGACACUUGUGGUGGCUCCAACGUGACCAUGAGCAACUACAAGGAAAGACUGGAAUGAGGGAAGGUGUCACAGAGGAGGGGAGUGUAAGCCCAUUUCCUACUCCUCCACUGAAGGCUCUAUCACCAGAAGUGCACCAUUUUUUUAUAAAAAGAUAGUACUUGUGACCCAACCUCAAGAGACGGAGCACUGACUGAUUUUUCUCUCUCAUGAUAAUCUUACUAGGAGAUGGCAUAUACUUUAGAGUUGAUUGGCCAAAGUUAGGGGUCCACCAUGCGGCCAAGGUUAGACAAGGUAAAAACUGAAUCUGCAGACGUGAUUUCGUUAACUUCUCUGGUCAUUUGUACAGCUCAACUGGGACACAUCUAUCAGAAACAACUGGCAAGGUUUCCAUUAAAGAAAAUACGCUGCACUGUAACGCAAAGGCCACGAGAUGGCGCCAAGCACACCGAAACCAGCCACUUGCCACAUCCUGAGGCCCCUUUCCAGGCUAAACUGAAAGAGCAACAACUAACUUUCAAAUGUUUUGUUUUGUUUUGUUUUGUUUUGUUUUAUGUAAUCUAACUUAGGAAAAAAUUACUAAAAAUUUCAGACCAAUUCAAAACUAAGGACAACUCAAGUAGGCAUCUUAAUUUGUACUGAGUACAACUCCUUCCAUCAAUGACCCUGACCCAGGUGGAAGUACAUUUUACACUGUGACGUAGUACACAGGUAAAUGUGUUUGUGCACCCUGUACAAGCAUAAGUUUCACACAACACUUACCAUUACUAUGCAAAAUGCAUUCUGAUCUUUUAUUUUUGUAAUGUUGGUCACAACCCAUAAAUUUCAUGACUCACUAAUGGGUCACGACCCAUAGUUUGAAAAACUCAUUUGUUUUAGCCAUAUUUUCUCUUCUAUUAAAGGUGCACAAUUUCUUUAACACAAAACACAAGAUCCCUACCCUUUCUUUGGUUACUAUAAUCGUUCCUCUGCAGUAUUAAUUUCUCAGUACCUCUGGAUUCCUGAAUGGCUUUCAGAAAAGCCUGUUUUAUUCUGAGGCUCCAUUUCUUCUUUAGCAUUCACAUCUUAAAUAGGAUUUUAUUUUUAAGAUGAUAUGCAAUAUAUUCAUUAAAGUAUUUUGAUAACUAAACAGCUGAAUCAAGUGAAGAAAUAUAAGCCUAAAUCAGGGGACCAUAGAGUGAAAAAGUGUCCCUACUUUUAUGGAGGAAGAAAUGAAACCUGAAGCAAUGAAUCUCCAAUUGUACCCUGACCUAGCUCAUUGCAGAUGUAGGCGAGACCUCACAGGUGUAGACAUUCAGGCCACUUCUCCCACGACGCACUGCCUGCCAGACGCUGGACCAAAGCACCCCCAAAUCCGCCUUAGAUUGAGCCUCUUAGAUCAAAAUAAUCUCAUGAUACAAGUUUCAUCUGGAAGCCAUGUGAUUUACCAAAGACCCUUAAA